rnacentral:rRNA from 1 species
AACGAACGCUGGCGGCAUGCCUAACACAUGCAAGUCGAACGAUCCCUUCGGGGAUAGUGGCGCACGGGUGCGUAACGCAUGGGAACCUGCCCUUAGGUUCGGAAUAACUCAGAGAAAUUUGAGCUAAUACCGGAUAAUGUCUUCGGACCAAAGAUUUAUCGCCUUUGGAUGGGCCCGCGUUGGAUUAGCUAGUUGGUGGGGUAAAGGCCUACCAAGGCGACGAUCCAUAGCUGGUCUGAGAGGAUGAUCAGCCACACUGGGACUGAGACACGGCCCAGACUCCUACGGGAGGCAGCAGUGGGGAAUAUUGGACAAUGGGCGAAAGCCUGAUCCAGCAAUGCCGCGUGAGUGAUGAAGGCCUUAGGGUUGUAAAGCUCUUUUACCCGGGAUGAUAAUGACAGUACCGGGAGAAUAAGCCCCGGCUAACUCCGUG